CAAUAGCGUAUAUUAAUGCUGCUGCGGUUGAAACGCUCGUAGUUGGACUUUGGGAUGUGAAGCGAGAUUGACCUUUGGGUUUUAUCUUUUUAGCUAUAUGUCCUAAUGCCGUGAUCUGCUUCUUCUUUUCGGAGGGGGAGCGAUUUCGGCCGGUUACUUUGAAGAAAUUAGAGUGUUCAAAGCAGGCCAACGCCUUGAAUACAUUAGCAUGGAAUAACAUAAUAGGACUUUGGUCUUGUUUUGUUGGUUUCCGGGACUAGAGUAAUGAUUAAUAGGGACAGUUGGGGGCAUUCAUAUUUGGUUGUCAGAGGUGAAAUUCAUAGAUUAACCAAAGAUGAACUACUGCGAAAGCAUUUGCCAAGGAUGUUUUCAUUAA
rnacentral:rRNA from 1 species